UUGCUCUUCAACGAGGAAUGCCUAGUAAGCGCGAGUCAUCAGCUCGCGUUGAUUACGUCCCUGCCCUUUGUACACACCGCCCGUCGCUACUACCGAUUGAAUGGCUUAGUGAGGCCUUGGGACUGGCUCAGGGAGGUCGGCAACGACCACCCAGAGCCGGAAAUUUGGUCAAACUUGGUCAUUUAGAGGAAGUAAAAGUCGUAACAAGGUUUCCGUAGGUGAACCUGCGGAAGGAUCAUUACUGAGAUAGGGUUCCUUCGAGCCCGACCUCCAACCCUUUGUCUACCAAACCUCAGUUGCCUCGGCGGGCCGCCGGCCCCCUUCACCGGGGGCCGCCGUCGGCCUUUGCGCUCUCGAGCGCCCGCCGCAGGACUAUUAAACUCUUUUUGAAAUUAGCCUUCUGAGUGGUAUUUAAUGCUUCAAAAAAAACUUUCAACAACGGAUCUCUUGGUUCUGGCAUCGAUGAAGAACGCAGCGAAAUGCGAUAAGUAAUGUGAAUUGCAGAAUUCAGUGAAUCAUCGAAUCUUUGAACGCACAUUGCGCUCCUUGGUAUUCCGAGGAGCAUGCCUGUUCGAGCGUCAUUAUCAACCCUCAAGCACUGCUUGGUAUUGGGCGUCGUCCUUUACGGGACGGGCUCUAAAGACCUCGGCGGCGGUGAUCAGACCCUAAGCGUAGUAAAAUAUCAGCUUCGUGUGUUUGGCGCCGCUCUGCCUCGAGAAAACUCUCACCUCAAGGUUGACCUCGGAUCAGGUAGGGAUACCCGCUGAACUUAAGCAUAUCAAUAAGCGGAGGA
rnacentral:rRNA from 1 species